rnacentral:rRNA from 1 species
GACGAACGCUGGCGGCGUGCUUAACACAUGCAAGUCGAGCGGUAAGGCCCUUUCGGGGGUACACGAGCGGCGAACGGGUGAGUAACACGUGGGUGACCUGCCCUCAGCUCUGGGAUAAGCCUGGGAAACCGGUCGUAAUAACUGGAGUAUGACUCCACUGACGCAUGUUGUGGGGUGGAAAGCCUUGUGCGGCUGAGGAUGGGCCCGCGGCCUAUCAGCUUGUUGGUGGGGUGANGGCCUACCAAGGCGACGACGGGUAGCCGGCCUGAGAGGGCGACCGGCCACACUGGGACUGAGACACGGCCCAGACUCCUACGGGAGGCAGCAGUGGGGAAUCUUGCGCAAUGGGCGAAAGCCUGACGCAGCGACGCCGCGUGAGGGAUGACGGCCUCGGUUGUAA